rnacentral:misc_RNA from 1 species
AAGUCGUAACAAGGUUUCCGUAGGUGAACCUGCGGAAGGAUCAUUAACACUUUUUGUUGAUUGUUGGUUUUUUCUUAUAAAAACCGACAACCACAAUUAUCCUAUCCAAACUGAAGAGCUUGUGAGCAGUGUGCUUUUCUUGUCUCUUUCGAGACAAAAAGCUGUGCUCCCAUUUUCUCACUUUUUUCCUUUUUCCAAUUUAAACAAAAACCCCAAUCACACAAAUCUAAAUCAUUUGUGAGAUUGCAAACAAUCAAUUUGCUAUCUUGACAAUCUAAAAAACAUCUAUUAAGAGAUUUACAUCUCAAAAUGUAACCAAACAACUCUUAACAACGGAUAUCUUGGCUCUC